rnacentral:rRNA from 1 species
GUCUUUUUGAAAUAAUUUAAAGUCUAAUCUGCCCACUGAUAUGAAUUAAAGGGCUGCAGUAUAAUGACUGUACAAAGGUAGCAUAAUCAAUAGUUUUUUAAUUGAAAACUUGUAUGAAAGAUUUGAUGAAAUAUAAACUGUCUCUAAUUUAUAAAUUGAAUUUUAUUUUUUAGUAAAAAAGCUAAAAUAAAUUUAAAAGACGAGAAGACCCUAUAGAGUUUUAUAUUUAAUUUUAUUUAAAAAUUAUAUAAAAAUUAAUAUUUAAAAUAAAAUUAAAUAUUAUAUUGGGGUGAUAGAAAAAUUAAAUUAACUUUUUUUAAAGAUUAAACAUAAAUAAAUGAUUAAAUGAUCCAUAAAUAAUGAUUAUAAGAAAAAAUUACCUUAGG